GUUUUGAUGUCAGAGUUCAUGCAUUGACCAAACUCAGGAAACUUUUGAAAGACAAACAGUUGCAACUUAGCAGUUAUAUACUAAACAGUGAAUCAGCUGAUAAAAUUGUUUCAGAUCUUGUUUCAGCUCUUUUAUUAGGAUGUCGUGAGGCUGAUCCCAACACCCAAUGUUUGUAUGGCCAAUGUUUAGGUGAAUUAGGAGCUAUUGAUCCAGGAAGGCUGGAACUCAUCACAAAAAGUAAAGAAGACAAACUCAAUGGUUUCUAUGCCAACAUUGAUGACGACAAUUUUGCAUUUGAUUUGAUCAAUGUUGUUGUUAAAGCC
rnacentral:sRNA from 1 species